rnacentral:rRNA from 1 species
CGAAUGCUGACAUGAGCAGCGUUAAAGGGGGUGAAAAGCCCCCUCGCCGUAAGCGCAAGGUUUUCUACGCAACGUUCAUCGGCGUAGAGUGAGUCGGCCCCUAAGGCGAGGCAGAGAUGCGUAGCUGAUGGGAAACAGGUCAAUAUUCCUGUACCGAUGUGUAGUGCGAUGUGGGGACGGAGAAGGUUAACUCAGCCAACUGUUGGAUAUGUUGGUUCAAGCUUGUAGUCGUGCCUGGUAGGUAAAUCCGCCGGGCUUAGAUGAGGAGUGAUAACGAGUCUGCUUGCAGACGAAGUGAGUGAUACCCUGCUUCCAGGAAAAGCCACUAAGCUUCAGCUACACACGACCGUACCGCAAACCGACACUGGUGCGCGAGAUGAGUAUUCUAAGGCGCUUGAGAGAACUCAGGAGAAGGAACUCGGCAAAUUGACACCGUAACUUCGGAAGAAGGUGUGCCUUUAGUAGGUGAACCAUUUACUUGGGGAGCCCAAUGAGGCUGCAAAAAAUCGGUGGCUGCAACUGUUUAUUAAAAACACAGCACUCUGCUAAGACGAAAGUCGACGUAUAGGGUGUGACGCCUGCCCGGUGCUGGAAGAUUAAAUGAUGGGGUGCAAGCUCUUGAUUGAAGUCCCAGUAAACGGCGGCCGUAACAAUAACGGUCCUAAGGUAGCGAAAUUCCUUGUCGGGUAAGUUCCGACCUGCACGAAUGGCGUAAUGAUGGCCACACUGUCUCCUCCUGAGACUCAGCGAAGUUGAAAUGUUUGUGAUGAUGCAAUCUCCCCGCGGAAAGACGGAAAGACCCCAUGAACCUUUACUGUAGCUUUGUAUUGGACUUUGAACAGAUCUGUGUAGGAUAGGUGGGAGGCUUUGAAGUGUGGUCGCUAGAUCGCAUGGAGCCAACGUUGAAAUACCACCCUGGUGUGUUUGAGGUUCUAACCUAGGUCCAUUAUCUGGAUCGGGGACAGUGCAUGGUAGGCAGUUUGACUGGGGCGGUCUCCUCCCAAAGUGUAACGGAGGAGUUCGAAGGUACGCUAGGUACGGUCGGACAUCGUGCUAAUAGUGCAAUGGCAUAAGCGUGCUUAACUGCGAGACUGACAAGUCGAGCAGAUGCGAAAGCAGGACAUAGUGAUCCGGUGGUUCUGUAUGGAAGGGCCAUCGCUCAACGGAUAAAAGGUACUCUGGGGAUAACAGGCUGAUACCGCCCAAGAGUUCAUAUCGACGGCGGUGUUUGGCACCUCGAUGUCGGCUCAUCUCAUCCUGGGGCUGUAGCCGGUCCCAAGGGUAUGGCUGUUCGCCAUUUAAAGAGGUACGUGAGCUGGGUUUAAAACGUCGUGAGACAGUUUGGUCCCUAUCUUCCGUGGGCGCUGCAGAUUUGAGGAAGCCUGCUCCUAGUACGAGAGGACCGGAGUGGACGAACCUCUGGUGUAUCGGUUGUCACGCCAGUGGCAUUGCCGAGUAGCUAAGUUCGGAAGAGAUAACCGCUGAAAGCAUCUAAGCGGGAAACUCGUUUCAAGAUUAGAUCUGCCGGGGCCUUGAGCCCCCUAAAGAGUCGUUCAAGACCAGGACGUUGAUAGGUCAGGUGUGGAAGC